AGAGCAAACCGGAUGGUCGCUGCGCAGGUUUAAAUUGUGUAGAGGAAAGUCCGAGCUCCAUAGGACAGCGUAAUGGGUAAUUCCCAUCCCUUUGACAUCUUUGAUGUCAAGGGCGGAUUAGAGCAACAGUGACGAUACCCGCCUAGGCGGGGGUGAAACGUGGCAAUCUCUGCGUGGAGCAAGACCGAAUAGGAGGAGGGUGGUCCGCCUGUUAUUCCUCGGGUUAGGUCGCAAAGAUUCCCUAAAGUAAUUUAGGGAACAAGAUGAAUGACUGUCACCUCAUUUAGCCUGAAUAUUUCAUGAAUAACAUGAAAUAUCCACCCGAAGGGCUGAUGAGAUAAAUUGUGUAACAAUUUAUCUCUGCUUUCAGGGUAUGCCAUUUCAUAGCUCAUUUUCUUCAGGCUAUGAAGGAUAGAGGCUAGUAUGAGGCACAGAACUCGGCUUAUAGGUUUGCUCUCUUU
rnacentral:RNase_P_RNA from 1 species